rnacentral:lncRNA from 1 species
ACAGUCCGUAAUUCUAGAGGAAACUUUUUUUUCGAGUCGAUAAUUACCAAAGACAAUGUAACAAUAAUCAUGGAUUCCCCUGGCCGAGUUCUCUUCUUCAUAAAUAAAAAGGUAAUCGAACUUUGUCUAUAACUCGCUAAUAGCUCAAUUGAGAUAUUAUCUUAAUAUGGUGGCUGAAAUUUGCUUCUUUUGCAGAAGAAUUACGAAUUUUGGGAUGUUGGGAAGGAUAUAAGUGGAUUGAUUCUUAAGUUAGCAAGAAAGAACAAUGGUUUCAACUUUCAAGUGAGAAGAAAUAACAAAAUUUUCAGUAGAGAAAUGACUUGUUGUGUGACAUUGAAGAAUGAUCAAACUACACAAAGCUGCUAUAGGAUAAUGAGAUUUCCACGAAAAUCAACAUUCAAGAUUUUCGACUGCCAAGGCCAGAUCAUGGUAAAAGUCUGUCGUAUUUAAUAUUACAUACCAAACAUGCAUCGAG